AAAAAAUGGUUGAAAAAAGGGACGGUGGUGGAGAAGAAUGGAGUGGAGGGAGAAAGGAGCUGGAGGGCAAGGAGGCAGCCGCAAAACGGACAUGAAGAACUGCAGAGAUCUGAAUUCUGAAGAUUAAAAAAAACAUAUUCAACAUCUAAAGAGACACAUUUGCAAGGUGUAGGAGUUCCAAGCUUCACUCGGAGCACUUUUUUCCCCUGGUGCAGCAGAUGAGCAACAGGAGCAUUGCUCUAAAAAAUUUCUCAGGAAAUAACUUUGAAUCAUCAUCUAGAUGAAAAUGUCUUCUCUGCCACAACAUUAAAUGACGCUGUAAUCAUAUGUAUACCUAAUUGGAAGUAAGACCUAUUAACAGAAACUAUUUGACACCAAUUGGCAUCUUACUCACAGAAAUAUAGGCAGACUUUAUGUGUUUCAGAUUAACUUUUUCAGAAUGAUGAUUAUUCUACAUUCUAGUAAUAUGUGGGACCAGGACCACACACAAUCAUGCACCCUUAACAUAUGGACAAUUGGUUGCAUCCAAUGAAGUCAUACCAUUAUCACAAGGACCUAUCCCUGUGCCCCCCCCCAAUCUGUUCUGGGGAUUCCUUCAACUCUCCACAGCAGAUUGGCAGAUGGGUGCUUAUGGGAUAACUUUCUUGGAUACAACCCCAUCUUUCUCACACACACGGCUAUUUUUCAUUGAAACAGAGGCUUAUUAUUAUUAUUAUUAUUAAAUUUUAUAUCCCGCCCUUCCUCCCAAAUUCCUAGGAACUGCACUCAAGUUUCACUUUCCAUUUUUUUUAGACUUUUUUUUUUUUUCAAAGUUUGUAAAAUGACCUUACUCUGUAAAGGGCAGUAAGAACUCUGUAAUGCCAACAGAAGAGUGCAAAUAAGGUCAAUGCACCACUGAACUGAAAGCUCUGCCUUACAGCUCUUCAAAGCCUCAAAGUUCAAAAUGCAACUGCAUCCUGAAAAUUGCAUGCAUGCAUUUGCAAAAUACAUGACACUUUCUGCAUAUAUGCAAGGAAUACAGAUAUACCUCUCUGCUAUUUCCCCUGUGCCAAUCUUCUUGCAACCUAUAUUCUUGCAGAGGAAGAACCUAUAAUCACAUGCUUUGCACAUAGCCAUUUUCCUGCUCAGCUGCUCCUUGCUCAACAGCUGGUGGGUAAGAGGGAAUCCUCAGGGCCACUGACAAUUCAGCCAGAUAAGUGGCUAAUAAGUUGAAUAAAUAAAUUCAGCUGCAGGCUGUAUCUGGCCCAUGGUCUGGGGGGGGGGAGUCUCCAUUCCUGGAUUAAACAAGGCCUUAACCUGCAAGGUGCUAAGAGCUCAAACCAAAUUUUAGCAAGAUCCAUCCACAUUCGUAAAGUCUGAGACUUUGUUAUUAAAAAAGUGGCUCAAUUGCAAUGAAUAAGGCUACCUAAUUUUGAAGUUAAGUAUGCACUACAGUCCUUUGUAUAAAUAAACUGUAGGAUUCAACAUCUACCUUGGACACAUUCCACAUUUGUUG